rnacentral:lncRNA from 1 species
AUAACAUCAAAAAUGAUCAGUGCAGAGGACCUCAGGGUCAGUUAGCCUGAGGGCUCAGAGCAACAGCAUCUACUGAACAUUUACCCACAAUGAGCUAAAGUCUCCUCCAUGUGUGCAUAGCUUCAUAGACUCACAAGGACAUCUUUCUCCAAUGACCAUCUGUCUUCCUCUUGCACCAAUCAAGGGGGGCAGAAUAUAGCUAAGCAGGAAAUCCAAGCAGAGAUACAAGGAGAAAGAAGGCAAAGUCCAGAAAGAGGCACCAGCAGCCACUGGAGGAGAAAGAAGUCAGAGCAUCUAUGUGGCUACAUGGCAUCUCCCUGGUGGCUCCUCUCUGUGUUCCUCUCCCCAGAAUGCUCCUCAUCUUGUAGCCCUGCCUAUACUUCCUGCCUGGCUACUGGAAAUCAGCAUUUAUUCAUCAACCAACAAGAGAAACAUAUAUUCACAGCACAUAGAAGUACAUCCCCCGUCACAUCAUACUAAGCGGAAAUCAAGUUCAAUUUCAGAAGAACCAACAACCAUCUCAAAGACUCAUCCUGCUUCUCCACAGCAACAUUUUCCUGCUGACAGAGGUGCUCUUCAUCUGCCCUUAGAAAGCUGCCUAAUAGAAUUUCACUGUCAUCUACAGACAGCUCUGCCCGGAGUUUAUUUUUAGUCUCUUUUGAUGCUGUCAGCACGUCUUCAUAACAGAACAACCAAAUUCAUAAAGAGGUGCUAUACAUUGCUUAUUAAGUAACAGUAGUUCUCAAAAAGAUGUAAAUGUCAUCUGCUACUGGGCAGAUAAGGCUGAUCCCAAGCAUCAGUUUAUAGAAAUUAGAAGAUAAUUUCUAUAAUACAAACACCAUCAUCAUCCCUAUUGUUAUGAACAUAGCAACAGCACACGGGGCCUAAGGCGGCCUCUGAAAGCCUCAGAGAAAGGUUCAUUAGUAGGACAAGCUGUUUAGGAGAUGGUUUGUCCAUAUGUUUAAGGCAGAAUAAACAACAGUUGUCUUUAUUGCUAUCAACACUGUGGAAGUUAUUUUAAAACCACAACCCAGGAAAAAAAUAAAACAGGUAUGCUGAUCAUUGUGGCAGUUGUUGGUUUAGAUCUGUCCUUUGAGGGUUGCUACUAGCAACAAGAAAAUUAAGCUAAAGGAAUUUUAAUCAAAUAAAUACGACUUUGUACCUACUGAUCAUAUAUCCUGGUGCGUUGUAAAGUGAGUAACAGAAAAUACUGAUCUGAGUUCUCUGGACAGAAACUUUAAAAAUCUUAAAACAGCAGUCGUCCAUCAUGAGAUGUAAAUGUUGGAGUCAGGAAGAAUAUCCGUUGAGUGUGUGAAGCAUCUCCUGGCUCUGCAGAACCUGAAGCAGUGAGAUUUAUUUUCUUGGCACUCAAGCACAGAGGCAGAGAUAAAAUUAAAUACACAGCAUUUGAACUAGAAAGUGAUCUGAGCUCCAAUAAUGCCGAAGGUAAUCCUGCAGGCUUUGAUCCAUUGAGCACAUUCGACCUUGUGUACAUUCGACAAAUAAAACCUUAAUAACAAAAAUCUAAUAGCGCCAAGAUGAAGUAACUGAAGCUUAAUUGAGCAGUAGUCUGGAUGUUUACAUAUCAGUACUGAUUUCUUCCUCAUGUGUCUAUGGAUAUGACGGAUGACCAAUCUUCC